AAACCAGCACCUCAAGUGGUCAGGAUGAUUAUUGGGCCUAAAGCAUCCGUAGCCUGCUCUGUAAGUUUUCGGUUAAAUCUGUACGCUCAACGUACAGGCUGCCGGGAAUACUGCAGAGCUCGGGAGUGGGAGAGGUAGACGGUACUCGGGAGGAAGUGGUAAAAUGCUUUGAUCUCUCGAUGACCACCUGUGGCGAAGGCGGUCUACCAGAACACGUCCGACGGUGAGGGAUGAAAGCUGGGGGAGCAAACCGGAUUAGAAACCCGGGUAGUCC
rnacentral:rRNA from 1 species